GACGAACGCUGGCGGCGUGCUUAACACAUGCAAGUCGAACGGAAAGGCCCUGCUUUUGUGGGGUGCUCGAGUGGCGAACGGGUGAGUAACACGUGAGUAACCUGCCCUUGACUUUGGGAUAACUUCAGGAAACUGGGGCUAAUACCGGAUAGGAGCUCCUGCUGCAUGGUGGGGGUUGGAAAGUUUCGGCGGUUGGGGAUGGACUCGCGGCUUAUCAGCUUGUUGGUGGGGUAGUUGCUUACCAAGGCUUUGACGGGUAGCCGGCCUGAGAGGGUGACCGGCGACAUUGGGACUGCGGUACGGCGCAGACUCCUACGGGAGGCAGCAGGGGGGAAUAUUGCACAAUGGGCGGAAGCCUGAGGCAGCAACGCCGCGUGCGGGAUGACGGCCUUCGGGUUGUAAACCGCUUUCGCCUGUGACGAAGCGUGAGUGACGGUAAUGGGUAAAGAAGCACCGGCUAACUACGUG
rnacentral:rRNA from 1 species